rnacentral:rRNA from 1 species
UUGAACGCUGGCGGCAUGCUUUACACAUGCAAGUCGAACGGUAACAGGUCUUCGGAUGCUGACGAGUGGCGAACGGGUGAGUAAUGCAUCGGAACGUGCCCAGUCGUGGGGGAUAACGCAGCGAAAGCUGUGCUAAUACCGCAUACGAUCUAUGGAUGAAAGCGGGGGAUCGCAAGACCUCGCGCGAUUGGAGCGGCCGAUGUCAGAUUAGCUAGUUGGUGGGGUAAAGGCCCACCAAGGCGACGAUCUGUAGCUGGUCUGAGAGGACGACCAGCCACACUGGGACUGAGACACGGCCCAGACUCCUACGGGAGGCAGCAGUGGGGAAUUUUGGACAAUGGGGGCAACCCUGAUCCAGCCAUUCCGCGUGAGUGAAGAAGGCCUUCGGGUUGUAAAGCUCUUUCAGCAGGAGCGAAACGGUCGUUUUUAAUACAGACGGCUAAUGACGGUACCUGCAGAAGAAGCACCGGCUAACUACGU